rnacentral:lncRNA from 1 species
AAGAUAUGUAGUACAUUUACUAAGUUUUAUGUUAUAUGUAACAUUAAAAGCACUUGAGGAACUACAAUCUAAUAAUAAUAAUCUAGUACAUUAACUUUUUUUUUGGUACUGGAGAUUGAACCCAGGGACACUACCACGGAGCUACAUUCCCAGCCCAUUUUAUUUUUUAUACUGAGUCAGGGUCUCACUAAGUUGCUGAGGUUGGCCUUGAACUUGGGAUUCUGCUGUCUCAACCUAUGGGGUGUCUAGGAUCACAGGUGUGUGCCAACACUCCUGGCUCCUGAUCCAUUAAUUCUUUUUUUUUUAAAUUGUAAAUGGACAGAAUUACUUUAUGUAUGUAUAUAUUUUUAUGUGGUGCUGAGGAUCAAACCCAGUGCCUCACACAUGCUAGGCAAGUGCUCUGCCACUGAGCCACAACCGCAGCCCUGUGAUACAUCAAUUCUUAAUCAACACUCCUAAAGGUUAUUUCUUUGCAUUUCUCUCUUUGUCUGUUAAACAAUGCUUAUGUAUCAUAAAUUUGUUUCUGAUUUUUUAAUUCUACAUAUUUAAAGUGACUCUACAAUGACAGCUUAGUCUGUAAAUAUGAAUAAAAACGUGGGUAGAACUAGGCUGGGUGGAAUGAAAGAGCAAGCUAUUUUCAAUUUGAGUGCAAGGGCUAACUUGAAAAUACAAAUUGCAGGUCAUCAUUGUUGAAACAGCUAAAAGGAGCCGCAGACCAUUUUCUUUAGCCGCCAAAGCCAGAGCAAGUGGGAAGAAGACCUUUGCCCUCGGGACUGUUUUGUUUCUGUGUCCCACCCCAAACUCACCCCAAAUGAGAAACAGACCUCGGGGCUGUACCAGCAUUAUUUUAAGCCACGUGAAUGCACACAAGUGACUCAAGUGACUUUGGUUUGGUUUUGUUUUUGUGGCAGCGUAAAUUAACAAGGUGUCAAAUGAACAUCGUGGAGAAUCCACAGGCUCAGCUGGUCCUGGGGACGCCGCUGGCCUGCCUCCGAGGGCCAUCUGGUAAGAGCAUUUCCACGCUCCGCGGUCACCCGGCCUUGGUCUCCGGCGGCCCCCUACCCACUGGUCAUAUUGGCGACCUCUGCUUCCUCCCGAGUGUGGAGAAUCUGCCAUAAAGAAAGCGCGCGCUCAGCUGCAGAUUUUCUGGGCGCAGCGCUGCCCUGGUUUUGGAAGGCGCGCCUCUCCGUCUCCCCUGGGCAUGUGGAACAGCCGAAUGCAAGAGUGAAAACUGCCAAAAUGCUAAUCACGAUGAGAGAAAAAAAUAAAUAACACCAUCCAGAUGGGACAAAGUGGGCAUAUUUCAAGUAUCCUGGGGAACUGUGCAGUAUAUCAUUCGUGAUGCGUGGCACACCGCGCCACGGCCCUUCACAAACACACACUGCCCGGGCGUAUGCCUGCGGGGACAGGCGGAGCCGGCCGUAAAUCUGAGGGGGCCCUUCGCCCAGCUUUGCGCUCAGGCUGCGGCUGAUUCAGCGGGAUCCGGGCUGCAGUCUGCUCCCUUGGCUGCCCAUCAACUCUGCGGCUCACCCCACGGGGCAGAAUCCCAGCGGGCGAAUUCACCCCAGUGAAACUCAGAUGCUUUUCACAGCAAGGAAACUGCUGCUUUGAACGGGCCUCUGCUGCGCUGGGGAGCCACGUGCCAGGUGGCAAGGUUCCCCCAGGCCCCAGAAGGUGUCCUGGGGCUGCAGGGGCUGAGCAGGUUUGGGGUUUCCACACUCAGUUCUUACCCUCCGUCCAUCUCUGCUGAUUCGGGAGAGCGCCUGGGAUCCACUUUGCAACAAUAAAUUCAGGGGAUCUGAACAGUGGCACCAAGACACACGCUCCGGGAAACACUGAAAUCCACGAAUUACUAGGGAACUGUUUCCGUGAGUGUGGAAGAUAUUCCUCUGCAAAGAAUAUUUGUUUUUCAAUUGGCAUAUAAUAAAUGUCCCUAUUUAAGAGGCAGCAUGUGAUGUUUCAAUUCAUGCAUACCUUAUGUACUGUUCAAAUCAGGGUAAACAUCUACCUUCUCAAACAUUUAUCCUUAUAUUUGUGCUGGAAACAUUCAGAAUCCUUUCAUCUAGGUUUUUUGAAAUAUGCUGUGCAUUAUCUCUAAUAAUCUAUAAUCAUGCUCCAGUGUGACAGAACACUGAAGCAUACGUCUCUCUAGUUGUUUCUCGGUGCCCACUUGGAAGAUGUUUCUAAGAGUUAUUAUUCCUUCAGCUUUGUUCAGGCAGAACAUGGUCCUCCAUGAUAAGGAAUGUCAGUGUAAUGCCACAGAAUAUGACCCACCACAGGAGUAGAAGUACAGUGUGUUGAAAACCUUUAUGUGCCUUAAAAAACACUGUGCAUAAAGAGGUGUUUUUAAAUGAAGUCACUAAUAUGUGUGUGAUAUGGUAAAUGUUGAUAAUAUAUUAAAAUAUAUAUCAAUCAAAUGACAUAGUUUAAUUUUGUGAAGGAUAGAUAGCAGGACACCACGGUACCUAUGUGUACAUUCAUAUGAAAUUGUCUUAAGUCUCAGCAAACAGAGCAUGAUGAUCAUAUGGCACCAUGGUGUGUCCCUUUAACAUCAGUCUCUUUUAGCUUUUUUAGGUUGGUGUUGUCUUAGAAUUUUUUAUUAGCUAUUAUCAUAAUUCACCAUAGUAAAGCCAAAAUCAAGUCUUGUACCUCAUACAGACAAGAGUUGGAAAAAAUGAGACAGGAAUUGCCUCACAUCAUCCUUUAAGGGUUUGAAAUCAAGUUCCCAAAAGCUCUAAGAUGUAAGAAAUAAUAUCUUUUAAUUUUCCAUGCACUAAAUUAACUCCUACUUUGUGCCUAUAUCUUUGGGUAGAAAAAGCAAACUGCAGUCCAGUUAGUUUCCCUGAGCCCUUUCCUCUGAGUGGCUUUUCUGUUGAAGACCUUCUGUGGGACCGUGCAGGGGUUGGGAGCUGCCAUUCUUGGUUACCAUCACCAGGGGCUGGCAGCGGCUGAGCUGUAUUUCUGCCUGCUCCCUAGACUUCAACCCACCCAGGGAGCUGGGGCUGUGUCCUUUGUAUCCCACUGAGUUCCAGUCCCAGCUCUCUCCCUACGGUUGCCAUCCACCUGUGAGGGCCUGCCAAGGUUUGGCUGCUUUCCGUCACUGGGCUGGGACCUGGGAAACCCUGAACUCUCCUGGGCUAUGAAAAGCCCCUUGAAACUUCUUCAUUCCUCCAGGGUGUACAGGAAAUCCUUCCCAUAAAUGUGCAGAACUAGUCAGUUUCCUAGAAUGCUCUCUGGCUGGAGAAUACAAUUCUGUGCUUUUGGACUUCUAAACCAAUCUGGGAAUUCCAGUAUUCUCCUCAUCUCAAAUGGGCUCUGAGAAAGAGGACACGGUACAGGGAGGGACCUUCUCACACAUUUUUCUCUGUUUUUCUUCUUCAUUUUUUUCUAUUCUUCCUACCAUCCUCCCAUCUGGGAAUUUUACCUAAAGUCUAGGAGUUAAAAACAUGUCCCUGAGGUUGUGUUCUAGUACUCUUUCAAGUCUCUUUUCUUCUUAAGUCUUGGCUUUUGGUUUGACUUGGUUUGGAAAGUCAAAAGCAAGCUCUUGCCCCGUGAUCCUCAGCCUUGGGCCUCUGCUAAGGUGAGCUGGAAGGGGCGCCUGU